AGCAUUUAACUGUUGUCCUGAUGC
rnacentral:siRNA from 1 species